rnacentral:lncRNA from 1 species
AUCGAGGGUGGUGGGGUCAUGACGAGACCAGAAGAGGGCGAGGAGGGCGGGGUAGGGGCAGGCGGCGGGGUCGAAGUGCACGCGGACGACCUCGGCGUGGCCGGUGUCGCCGCCGCAGACGGCCCUGUAGGUGGGAUCCGGGAGGUGGCCCUGCGAGUACCCCACCUCGGUCUUCACCACCCCUUCCAGGCGCUGGAAGGCCAGUUCCAGCCCCCAGAAGCACCCCGCUGCAAAUUGCGCCAGGUGGAGGCCGGGCUGUGCCGGCGAGUCUAGGUCCGAUGCCAGAGCCGAGUUCGCACCUUCCGCCGUCGCCGCCAUUCUGC